ACGGGUAAUGGCGUGCCUUUUGUAGAAUGAACCGGCGAGUUACGGUAGCAAGCGAGGUUAAGGCGGGGAGCCGGAGCCGAAGCGAAAGCGAGUCUGAAGAGGGCGAUAAGUUUGCUGCCGUAGACCCGAAACCGGGUGAUCUACCCAUGUCCAGGGUGAAGCGGGAGUAAAGUCUCGUGGAGGCCCGAACCGACCGACGUUGAAAAGUCGGCGGAUGAGGUGUGGGUAGGGGUGAAAUGCCAAUCGAACCCGGAGAUAGCUGGUUCUCCCCGAAAUAGCUUUAGGGCUAGCCUCAGGGGAUGAGUUAUGGAGGUAGAGCACUGAAUGGGCUAGGGGCCUGAGCAAGGUUACCGAACCUUAUCAAACUGCGAAUGCCAUAACUUGGACCCUGGGAGUCAGACUAUGAGGGAUAAGCUUCAUAGUCGAGAGGGAAACAGCCCAGACCGCCGAUUAAGGUCCCGAAGUACAGGCUAAGUGGGAAAGGAUGUGCAGCUGCAUAGACAACCAGGAUGUUGGCUUAGAAGCAGCCAUCAUUUAAAGAGUGCGUAAUAGCUCACUGGUCGAGUGGUUGUGCGCCGAAAAUGUCCGGGGCUAAGCCUGUCACCGAAAUCGCGGCUUAUUCGAGGUUCGAAGUUGGAGGUUCGAGGUUCGAAGCAAGCAGAAAUCCUAAGGUCUAAGCAUAAAGUAAGGACCCGGGAGGAAUGCCAAGAUCGAACAUCAAACUUCUAACAUCGAACUUCGAGUAGGGGUAGGGGAGCGUUCCAUGGGCGGAGAAGGCAUACCGUGAGGAGUGCUGGAGCGCAUGGAAGUGAGAAUGCCGGUAUAAGUAUGCGAAAAGGCAGGUGAGAAUCCUGCCCGCCGAAAACCUGAGGUUUCCUGGGGAAGGCUCGUCCGCCCAGGGUAAGUCGGGACCUAAGCCGAGGCCGAAGAGGCGUAGGUGAUGGACAAUCGGUUGAAAAUCCGAUACCACCAUACAACCGAUAUUACGAAGGGGUGACGCAGGAGGCUAGGGAGAGCCGGUGAUUGGAAGGACCGGUCCAAGCCAGUAGGGAGUGAGGCAGGCAAAUCCGCCUCACGGAAAUCCUGAGAGGUGAAGGGGAGCCCGUAAGGGCGAAGCUUCUGACGCCAAACUGCCGAGAAAAGCCUCUAAGGAGGGGGUAUGGUGCCCGUACCGGAAACCGACACAGGUAGGUGAGGAGAGAAUCCUAAGGCGAGCGAGAGAACCCUCGUUAAGGAACUCGGCAAAAUGACUCCGUAACUUCGGGAGAAGGAGUGCCGCUAGAUGUGAAGGGCUGCGCGCCUGGAGCAUAGAGCGGUCGCAGAGAAGAGGCCCAAGCGACUGUUUACCAAAAACACAGGUCCCUGCCAAAGCGAAAGCUGACGUAUAGGGGCUGACGCCUGCCCGGUGCCGGAAGGUUAAGGGGAAAGGUUAGCUGAGAGGCGAAGCUUUGAACCGAAGCCCCGGUAAACGGCGGCCGUAACUAUAACGGUCCUAAGGUAGCGAAAUUCCUUGUCGGGUAAGUUCCGACCCGCACGAAAGGCGUAACGACUUGGGCGCUGUCUCAACGAGGGGCUCGGCGAAAUUGUAGUACACGUGAAGAUGCGUGUUACCUGCGACAGGACAGAAAGACCCCGUGGAGCUUUACUGUAGCCUGACAUUGGAUUUUGGUAUUGCAUGUACAGGAUAGGUGGGAGACUGGGAAGCUUAGGCGCCAGCCUAAGUGGAGUCGGUGGUGGGAUACCACCCUUGUGAUAUUGAAGUUCUAACCCGAACUCGUGAGCCGGGUAGGGGACAGUGUCAGGUGGGCAGUUUGACUGGGGCGGUCGCCUCCCAAAGAGUAACGGAGGCGCCCAAAGGUUCCCUCAGCGCGAAUGGAAAACGCGCGGAGAGUGCAAAGGCAGAAGGGAGCUUGACUGUGAGACCGACGGGUCGAGCAGGGACGAAAGUCGGGCUUAGUGAUCCGGUGGUACCGAGUGGAAGGGCCAUCGCUCAACGGAUAAAAGCUACCCCGGGGAUAACAGGCUUAUCUCCCCCAAGAGUCCACAUCGACGGGGAGGUUUGGCACCUCGAUGUCGGCUCAUCGCAUCCUGGGGCUGAAGUAGGUCCCAAGGGUUGGGCUGUUCGCCCAUUAAAGCGGUACGCGAGCUGGGUUCAGAACGUCGUGAGACAGUUCGGUCCCUAUCCGUCGCAGGCGGAGGAAAUUUGAGAGGAGCUGUCCCUAGUACGAGAGGACCGGGAUGGACAGACCGCUGGUGUACCAGUUGUUCCGCCAGGAGCAAUCGCUGGGUAGCCAAGUCUGGACGGGAUAAGCGCUGAAAGCAUCUAAGCGCGAAGUCCACCUCAAGAUAAGAUUUCCCACUGGGAAAACCAGGUAAGACCCCUGGAAGAAGACCAGGUAGAUAGGCCGGGAGUGUAAGAGCCGCAAGGCUUUGAGCGGACCGGUACUAAUAGGUCGAGGUCUUAACCU
rnacentral:rRNA from 1 species